rnacentral:rRNA from 1 species
GUGCCAGCAGCCGCGGUAAUACGUAGGGUGCGAGCGUUAAUCGGAAUUACUGGGCGUAAAGCGUGCGCAGGCGGUUCGUUAAGUUUGUGGUGAAAGCCCCGGGCUCAACCUGGGAAUGGCCAUGGAAACUGGCGGGCUGGAGUGUGGCAGAGGGGGGUGGAAUUCCACGUGUAGCAGUGAAAUGCGUAGAGAUGUGGAGGAACACCGAUGGCGAAGGCAGCCCCCUGGGCCAACACUGACGCUCAGGCACGAAAGCGUGGGGAGCAAACAGGAUUAGAAACCCCGGUAGUCC